UCAUUUUCCAAAAAUAUCACUCGGUUUCCAAUUUUAGAAACCGAGCUUUCUUCUCUCUCUCUUGCGUCCGAAACCGGAGGAAAAACAGAGCAAGCUUUCCCGGUCGAGUUCUCCACCCUCCGGCCACCGUUUGACGCCAAAUCACCUCCCUUGCCUUCACCUCGACGCCGCCUGCCUUCCGGGCGUGAUUGUUUCCGCCGGCACAGCCUCAAAACCAGGUGAAACGGAGUUGCAGACCUUGAAGCAAAAACGGUCAACCCCGUUUUCCUCCUAGCUCCGGCCACCAAAACUUCCGAUCCUUAGCUCCAUGAACUCGCCUCAACUUGCUGAUCAUCAUACUAGAAGGAUCGCACCUGGAGUGACCGGUUUCACGUUCGUCGGAGCUCGGUCGGUUUUCGAUCCGAAACGAAAAUCUUUCAAUCGGGAUAUCUCGAGCUGUAGUGCAUCGUUUUGAUUGAUUCAUUUUCCAGUGGGUUCGCCUUGAUGUUCUUAACAACUCUCUAGAAGGAAUCAAGGCCUAAAAUUGAAGUUUUUACGUCGAAAAUUGAGCUCGCCUGUUUCUGGAAAUUUUCGCCGGUUUCUGGAAAAUUUCCGGCCACAUUCAUACUGUUCAAGGUGAUUGACGGUCUUCCUUGGGUGAGCGGUUUCGGUGUGUAUUGUGUUGAAGUGAAGACGCAGCGGGACUAGAGCGGGUAAUCCUGUAGGUCAGGAGAAUCAGGGCGGUGAUCGUGCGGGUUAGAGCAUUUGUUAUAAUUUUACAGCAAUUGUAAUAGUGAGGUGAGUUAAGCUCAUUUGAGCCUUGCAAUUUGAUUUGGUGAGAGUGUGCUGUAAUAAAUAACUUGAGAAUGUGGUUUAUUGUAUUAUUGAGAGGUGUGAAGUGUGGUUGUUUUUGAGAAAAAAAUUCAGGACGUUGGUUUGUAAUAGUUAUUAUUCAUGUUUCGGAUUUGAAUUGUUUAUUUAAAAUUCGGGGCGUGACA